GCCCGUAUAGCUCAGUGGUAGAGCGUCAGUCUUGUAAACUGAAGGCCCUGUGUUCAAUCCACAGUUCGGGCA